rnacentral:rRNA from 1 species
GGAAUAUUGGACAAUGGGCGAAAGCCUGAUCCAGCCAUGCCGCGUGUGUGAAGAAGGUCUUCGGAUUGUAAAGCACUUUAAGUUGGGAGGAAGGGCAGUAAGCGAAUACCUUGCUGUUUUGACGUUACCGACAGAAUAAGCACCGGCUAACUCUGUGCCAGCAGCCGCGGUAAUACAGAGGGUGCAAGCGUUAAUCGGAAUUACUGGGCGUAAAGCGCGCGUAGGUGGUUUGUUAAGUUGGAUGUGAAAGCCCCGGGCUCAACCUGGGAACUGCAUCCAAAACUGGCAAGCUAGAGUACAGUAGAGGGUGGUGGAAUUUCCUGUGUAGCGGUGAAAUGCGUAGAUAUAGGAAGGAACACCAGUGGCGAAGGCGACCACCUGGACUGAUACUGACACUGAGGUGCGAAAGCGUGGGGAGCAAACAGGAUUAGAUACCCCAG